AACGAACGCUGGCGGCAUGCCUAACACAUGCAAGUCGAACGAGACCUUCGGGUCUUGUGGCGUCUGGGUGCGUAACGCGUGGGAACCUGCCCUUAGGUUCGGCAUAACUCCCCGAAAGGGGUGCUAAUACCGGAUAGUGUCUUCGGACCAAAGAUUUAUCGCCUUUGGUUGGGCCGGCGUUGGAUUAGCUAGUUGGUAGGGUAAAAGCCUACCAAGGCGACGAUUCGUAGCUGGUCUGAGAGGAUGAUCAGCCACACUGGGACUGAGACACGGCCCAGACUCCUACGGGAAGCAGCAGUAGGGUAUAUUGGACAAUGGGCGAAAGCCUGAUCCAGCAAUGCCGCGUAAGUGAUGAAGGCCUUAGAAUUGUAAAGCUCUUUUACCCGGGAUGAUAAUGACAGUACCGGGAGAAUAAGCUCCGGCUAACUCCGUG
rnacentral:rRNA from 1 species